rnacentral:tRNA from 1 species
GAAGGGUUAGUUAACUCAAUAACGUAAGCCUGUCACGCUUAAAUCACCAAUCGAUUGGUAUCCU